UUUAAGGUUGGAUUGGAGCACUG
rnacentral:piRNA from 1 species